rnacentral:pre_miRNA from 1 species
AAAACAACAUUCGGAGCAUCGGUCUGUAGAGCAAUAUCACCUGCUCGGUGAAAGAUCUUCCCUUUGUCGUAAACC